rnacentral:lncRNA from 1 species
AUCAAAUGAGACAAUUUCAUAUAUCAAAGAAAACACCCAAAGAUUGCAACACAUUUACGAAAAGAUAAAUUAAUAAAAUAUUUAAAUUAUAUAGGGGUAAAUAAAACCAUAUAUAAAAACAAAAAAUAAAUAAAUAUAAUAAACAUAAAUUGUAAGUCAUCUAUAACAAAACUUUGGUUUGUUGUUGAGCCAUGUUCAAAUCUUUUUGGCCUUAUGUUUACAACAUGAGUCUCUUGCUUUGUUCCAAAUUUCCAAUGAAGCAUGUAGGCUUGGCCUGAGGUAACAGUUUUUUUCUUCACAUAGGGUUUCUUUUCUUUCUUUCUUUCAUUCUUUCUUUGUUGAGAAGCUCCUCAUUGUCAAGUCCUGAUCAAUCCCUCAUUUUGCCAAGACUCCAAGACUUGUUAAGAAAGAAAACAGAGCUCAGAAGAAAUUAACUCAAAAUCUCACAUCACAUUGUUGAUAAUAUCAAGUGUUUUUUUUUUUUUUUUCAUUGAAAUGAUGAAUUUCAAAUGUUUACAACACCCAUCAAUGUGUGGGGGAGAAGUUCAUGAUUAACAAAGAAAAAUAAUGAGACUUUGAUGGAAGGUAAUGACUGAAACCAAUCUGCUUCUUCAGCUGUAACAAGGGAACAUAUCCAAAGAAGAUGAAUAAGAACCAACCUAAGCUUCCCAACCCCUUAGCGUCGUGGCACAAGCAACUCGCUUCACAUUGAAUGUGAACCCACUCAAAAUAGUUCACGGUCACACCUCCAGCAUUAGCAUAGAUGUCGGGGAGGAUUACAACUCCCUUCUUGGAUAGAAUCUGCAAAGAUAAUAUAUUGUCAAUGCAAACUUCCUUCCUCUAUGGCAAUUAAGUAUGCACCAUGCACAAACACUAUGUUACCUCAUUAGCUUCCGGAUGAUGAUUUGCUGCUUCUAUUAUGAACUUUGCCUUAACAUCCNNNNNNNNNNNNNNNNNNNNNNNNNNNNNNNNNNNNNNNNNNNNNNNNNNNNNNNNNNNNNNNNNNNNNNNNNNNNNNNNNNNNNNNNNNNNNNNNNNNNCCCUCAUUUUGCCAAGACUCCAAGACUUGUUAAGAAAGAAAACAGAGCUCAGAAGAAAUUAACUCAAAAUCUCACAUCACAUUGUUGAUAAUAUCAAGUGUUUUUUUUUUUUUUUUCAUUGAAAUGAUGAAUUUCAAAUGUUUACAACACCCAUCAAUGUGUGGGGGAGAAGUUCAUGAUUAACAAAGAAAAAUAAUGAGACUUUGAUGGAAGGUAAUGACUGAAACCAAUCUGCUUCUUCAGCUGUAACAAGGGAACAUAUCCAAAGAAGAUGAAUAAGAACCAACCUAAGCUUCCCAACCCCUUAGCGUCGUGGCACAAGCAACUCGCUUCACUGCCAAUGUGAAGGCUCCCAUUCGAAGACUGCAGUUGUGCGAUUGACACAUUUCCUUAAUGUUAUGAAAGCUUUGGUCAUAUACUUCUGAAGCUCAUUAUUCACCUUCUCUUCUUCCCACAUAAAACCUUGAAUAUUCUGCCAAUGUGACAUCUUAGGAUUAAUGGUUUUACGUUGGCAGAAUAUUCAAGGUUUUAUGUGGGAAGAAGAGAAGGUGAAUAAUGGGCUUGAGAAGUACAUGACCAAAGCUUUUCAUAACAUUAAGGCAAUGUGUCAAUCGCACAACUGCAGUCUUCGAAUGGGAGCCUUCACAUUGGCAGUGAACCCACUCAAAAUAGUUCACGGUCACACCUCCAGCAUUAGCAUAGAUGUCGGGGAGGAUUACAACUCCCUUCUUGGAUAGAAUCUGCAGAGAUAAUAUAUUGUCAAUGCAAACUUCCUUCCUCUAUGGCAAUUAAGUAUGCACCAUGCACAAACACUAUGUUACCUCAUUAGCUUCCGGAUGAUGAUUUGCUGCUUCUAUUAUGAACUUUGCCUUAACAUCCGCAGCAUUUUCUCUUCAGAGGGGAAAAAACAUGAAUGAGGUUAGAUGAAAUCAUCUGGAUGAGUUAGGUUAAAGGAAGUAAAAUCAUGCCUUUUUCCACUUUUUACCAUCAAAAGAUUUGUGUGGUUUCUAACCUGAAAAACGAUUGGAUAUUCACUUAAUAACUAAAUACAGCACAAGCACAUUUCAUGAAACUUCUGCCAACAAUUAAAGGGUAACAGAACACAUGUAACAUCUUUACCUAAAAAUUGGCAAUUCAUCGUAUGGCAAUUUGAUACAAUUGCAGCAUUCUGAUUCGAUCUUUCAGAUUCAACAUAGUAUCUCAAACAGAGUUGCAUCAUGUUUCUUCAUGGUAUUGAGAUGUGUCUACUUCAUUUUAUGUGUAUGUUCAUUGUUUUUAUGAUCUUAAUGUAUGGAAAAGACAAGUUUCUCAAUUCAAAAAAGGCCCAUGUCAAAAGAAACCCAAAACAAAAAAGGCACCGUAAAGAAGAAACUGAAAGGCAAGGAGCAAGUUUCUGAUGAAAACAAGGACUCAACUUGCUAAGAACUCCACCUAGAGCACAUGGGAUGAGAACAUCACAUUCAUGUGUGAGCAGUUCAUUCGGAUCCAUGUGAUCUCCGCCACUGAAAUUCGUUAGACAACCAGUCUCUUCUUUGUGCCUAAGCAAAUCCACUAUAUCAAGCCCAUUUUGGUUCUUAACAGCUCCAGUGACAUCACUCACCGCUAUGAUUUUACCACCUCUCUCAUGGAUGAGUCUUGCUACCCAAGAUCCAACAUUGCCAAAAUCCUGAAAAGUUUUUUUAUUUUCCAUUUAAAUAACCGAACUUUCUAACUACGCCAAGAACAGAAAUAGAAAGGAUUUAAUCCAAUAUUUUACCUGAAUAACAAAUGUCAAACCCUUAAUUGACUUCCCAUGUUGUGCAAGUAAAGCUUCAGUUGCGAAAACAACACCUUGACCAGUUGCAGCCUCCCUACCGAGGGAUCCACCAAGAUCCUAAAAGCCCAAAUGUAAAUGAGGCCACAGAACAAGAAACAACAGUUACAAAUUCGUUUCUCGACUUCAAAGGUUUACAUAAAUCUAAAUCAUAGAUGCUCAGUUUUUUGUCGCAAAUACUUACUAUUGCCUUUCCAGUCACUAUUUAUAAAUAUUUCCGUUCCAUGAAUGAGAGAAUAUUUCAAGAGUGUUACAGACAAAAGAUAACCUGAGCAUUAGUUCCCAUGUCUGGUGCAGGUAUAUCGGUAUGAGUUCCAAUAAGAUCAUGAAUCUUUUGAGUAAAGACACGAGUAAGACGUUCCAACUCGCUCAUACUCAAGUCCCUUGGGGUGCACCCAAUGCCACCCUUUGCACCACCAUAGGGAAUGUCAACUACAGCGGUCUUCCACGUCAUCAAUUGAGCCAGCGCAUUUACCUCAUCAGGAUCCACCUUUGAAAACAAAUGAAGAAACGUAUCAGUAAAACUAAAUGCAACCAGGUUUUUAUUUGCAAGAAAUCAAAGCAAACAAGUUUGAAGAUGAAAUAAUUCCUUCUAACUCAGCACCAACAAAAUUACGGGCGAACAACUUCUUGAAAGGAAAACAAAACAACUCAUUGAAUUUGAUUAUGCAAAUUGAGAACACACAAAUUAACAUAACAUCCAAAAUAGAAUUCAUCAUGCCACUCAUCAUUUAAAAUUCUAUAUCAAUAUCCAUAUCAUCCCAAAAAGAUUUUCGACUGUAUAAUAAUUAUCAGUUUUAUCGCAUAUUUCGGUUGGACCAUGUUUGCCAAAAUCAUUGAAAACAAUUUCCAAGAUUCAAAAAAAAAAAAAAAAAAUGCACAACCAACAUUUUGAUAUAGAAAUCUUGAACCUGAGAUUUCGAGAUAAUGAUCUUUGUACAAGAUACAAUAAGGGCAUGUUUGGAUCCAUCAUGAAAUGAAAUCAUUCCACUAUUCUUGCAUUUGAACAACUCCCUUUCCAUGGGACACCCAAAAACCACUUAGACAAAACCCAAAUCAACCGGAAAUUCCAAGAACCUAAAAGCAAACCCCCUAAACUCCGUUUGCUUGCCGAGAAAAUAGGGGGAAAAGACAAGAAAAAACAAACUACAAUCCUACAAUCCCGAAUCUCAUGUUCUGUGCUCCAAGAAAUUACAAAGUCAAGUAAGCCCCACAACAUACCUAGACUCUACUACCCUAACAAAAACAAAAAAUUUCAAAUCUCUCCUUUUCAUUCUCAACUUUUCUCAGCAAUCAAACAGGACAAAAUCCGAAAACAAACAAAAGAAUCAGUGAAUCACAAACCUAAGGGUGAUAUCUGAUCCCUCCCUUCAUGGGCCCACGAGCAUUAUCAUGCUGCACACGGAACCCCACAUACGUUGCCAAACUUCCAUCAUCCUUCGGGAUCGCGCACUCCACCUAACAACACCACCACCAAAAGAUCAAAAUUCUGGAAAAAAUUCUCAGGAAACAAACACAACCCAUGAACUCAAAAACAAGAUUCUGGCUAAAGAAAAUAAAUAAAUAAAUAAAUAAUUCCCGGGAAUCAAACAGAACCCAUGAACAAAAACCCCAGAAUUCCAACCUUGAUCUCUCUGAAAGAUAUCAGAAGACUCUUCUCCAGCUUGGAGUCCAACCCAAGAAUGCGGGAAGCAUGGCGAAAAUUGCGGUUAGUGGCUGCUAGAGCAUUCAUUGCCACAAAAACAAAACCCAGAAUAGAAAACGAUUGCUAGAAAAAGAAACAGACCCAGAAAAAAAAAAAAAAGAAAUGCAAGAAAAUGAAAGAAAAAAUUGGAGAAUUGAAGAGUAGAAAGAGAUUACAAUAGAAAUGUGAAUGAACUGACUGAUUGAUAGAAGUAGAGAGCAAGAGGGAGGGACCGGAGGAGGGCAGUUAAGGCGCUCAAGAUGGCAUGUCGGGCAGUUAAGGCGCUCCAGAUGGCAUGUUCAGGUUGUUACAAUCCCCUCUCGAUUAUGCAGAGCUGACUACACGUGCCCUUCCCGCUACCCAAAAUUACUAAAACACCCUUUUCCUUCCCAAACCUAUUUUCUAAUUUCUCUUUUCUAUUUUAAAAAUUAGAAGCUAAAAUGGAAAAUAAUCCUCACUUUAAAAAAUACCUUCAAUUUUUUUAAUUAUAAAUAUAAUAUUAAUUAAUUAUAAAAAAAUUAAUUUUUCAUUUAAAAAAGUGUCUUAAUAUAAAAAAAUAGAGGAUAUUUUAAGCCUCUAUAAAAUAUAUCUUAAUUUAAUUUUAAAUGGACAACAAACCCUUUUUAUUUUAUUUUAUAAAAUAAUGCUCUAUGAAAUAAAUGUGAAUUUAUUAGGGGGUAUUUCAUGCCCAGAAAAAAGUUAUUUUAAAAUUGAAUUUUUUUCAUUUAAAAAUUAUUUUAUUCAAUUUAAUCAAUUUUUUACUUUAACAAAGAUGGAAAAAGAGAGAGAUUAUUUUAGGAAAUAAAAAAUUGGGACCAUUUUGGUAAUUGUGUUUUAAAACGGUUUUGAAAAAUAGUUUUUAAGAACAGUUUUUAAAAAUCCUUUUUUGAUGUUUUGUAGAACAAAAGUCUGUUUUGAGAGCUUAAAAUGUUUAUAAUUUUUUUUAACCAAACUUUUAUUAGAACCAAACUUUUGUCCCAAUAGAAAAGAGACAAAAAAACAUACUAGAAUAAAUACCAGAUAUUAGAAUCACGGAUUUGUCAUUUUUCCUCAAAAAAUUUCAUUUUCCUCAUAAACUUCAACAAACGUUUGCAUCUUAAAGGGCUUUAAUCUUUGGAUGAUAACAAACCAUUUAUGCUAAAAUAGUCGUGAAGGACGUAAACAAAAGAGAAAACCAAAAGCAAUGGGGAAAAAAAAAUUCUGAAAACUGAGAUUCCGAGAUGGGAAAAAAAUAGGAAAGUGUAAAAAACUUUAUAUAAAACAAGCCAAAAAAAAGAUUGGGACCAACCUCAACCUUAAUGUUUUGUAACUCCAACAAUGUCUCUCUCACAGUGGUCCACUGGUGGGGCUAGGGUUUUGAAGAAAAAAAUUACAUAGAGAAUAAAACACGACAUGGGAAGUUGGGAAAGUAAACAAAAAUAGUAUAAAAAAUUAGGUUUUAUGUUUAUGUUGAUUGAUGGGGGCUAUUUUGAACAUUAGUUUUGGAAGAAACCCACUUUUAAUAGUAAGUUUACGAAGAAGCCCAUUUUGGCCCAAAACUCGCGAAUGGCUAUCUUAGCAAAAAAAAACUAAGUUUUGGGGCAAAAUAGCCCUUUCAUGUAAAGAAAUAUCAACUUUAGUCCCCUUAUAAAAUUUAUGUUCAAAUUAGCCAUUUUAUUGCCACAUAGAAGCCAUGUAAUAAUUUUUUUUUUUCCAAAUUUAAAUUGAAGCCUCAGUUGCCAAUUGAGGCUUCAGUUAUUUUAUUUUUUUUGCUUUAAAAUUUAAUUAAAAAUAUUAAAUUUUAAAUUAUUAUUGAAAUUUUAAAAAAAUAUACUUUAAUAAUAAAAAUUUACAUAUUUAAACUUAAAGAUCUAAUAUUACUUCAAUAAAGAUAAUUUGAUAAAUAUAAGAAAUAAAUAUUUUAUUUAUCAAUUAAUUAAUAAUCUUAAAAUAAUAAAUUUAUAUGACAUAUAAAUAAAAUAUAAAAUUAUAUAAUUUAUUAAUUUAAGUUAUAUCACAUGUAAUAUUAGGGAGGGACCUUUUUUUUCCAUUAUAUAAAUGUUUAAUGAGUUUUUUUUUUGUGACUUUGAUGAAACUACUAAAAAUUACAUUUUAUAGUAGUCUUUUUCUAAUUAAUUUUAUUAACUAAUUUCAAAAUGUAUCUUUAAGACAUAUAUAUUGUGUGCAUAAAUAAUAGUUUUUUUUUUACGUUAAAUUAUAAUAUAUGCUUUAAAAUAAUUAAAAAAAUCUAUAUAUGGAAACUUAAGAAUAUACUAAUAUUUCAAUAAAAAUAAAUUUAUAAAAAUACAAAUAAAUUAAUAUAUUAAAAAUACAACAAAUUAAAUAUCUUAAAUUAAUAAAUUAUAUAAUUUUAUAUCUUAUUUAGAUUUCAUAUAACUUUAUUAAUUUAUUGAUAAAUAAAAUAUUCAUUUAUUAUUAUAUUUAUUAAUUUAUCUUUAUUGAAGUAAUAUUACAUCUUUAAGUUUAAAUAUAUAAAUUUUUAUUAUUAAAAUAUAUUUUUUUAAUUUCAAUAAUAAUUUAUAAUUUAAUAUUUUUAAUUAAAUUUUAAAGUAAAAAUAAUAAUAAUAAUAAUAAUUAUAACUGAAGCCUCAAUUGCCAAUUGAGAAUUUAGUUAAAAAAUGAAGGCUCAAGGCUGAGACUUCAACUUAAAUUUUGAAAAAAAAAAAAUUAUGACAUGACUCUUAUGUGGCAAUAAAAGGGCUAAUUUGAACAUAAGUUUUGUAAGGGGGCUAAAACUGAUAUUUCUUUACACGAAAGGGCUAUUUUGCCCCAAAACUCAAAAAAGCUCACGUGUUUUGCCAUGUCUAUCCUGAUGACGUGGAUAUCUUAUUUUUAAAAUGGCAGUGUUGUCCCAAGUGGUUUCCUUUCUUUCUUUUUCUUUUUCUUUUUCUAAUAACCUUCCACGUUCACAGAUGAAAAGUUAUUGUUUAAUUAAAUAAUUUAAAUAGUUUAACUUUUAUUAAAUUUUAGCAAUACUUCUAGAAGUUUCUUCUUAAAAGUUUUAUAGAAAAUACAAGAGAAAAAAAAUAAAAACCCACCUUAAAUUUUUUUUUUUGUCAAAAUUAUUAUUUUAAAGUAAUAAUAAUAAUAUAAAAAAUAUCCAUUUAAAAAAGUAAAUUAAUACAUAAAUAUCAAAUAGAGCUUCUAAUUAAAAAUUAAGGAUGUGUUUGGUAAUUGUUUUCGAAAACAAUUUUGAAAAAUAGAUUUUUAGAACAGUUUUUGAAAGCUAUUCUCUGAUUUUUGUAGAACAACCCUGAAGUAUCUAGAGAUCUUGUACACUCAAGAUCUUCUGUUUGAUGACUUUAUCUCAAUCUUAGCACUUUAAAGGAUGGGUCUUUGGAAGAGAGGAUAGUAUGAUUCUCUUCUCUUUAGAGGUGGUUGAAACCCUAACCCUUAAGAGGUAUUUACAGGAUUCUCUAAUUAGGUUUAAGUGACUUAAACUCACUAAAGGCUUGGGUCACUUAAUUUAACCCAAAAUGGGUCCUAAUGAUUAAUUAACCUCACAAAGCCAUCUAAUUAAUUAAUUAAUUAUCUCAAUCCAGAGACUUGUUCACUAACCCAUUUGCAACCUCUCAUAAUUAUACCAAAGUGUUUUUAUGUACAAAAGUGAAUCUAGAGCUAAUCCAAUCCUCAUAAAUAGUGUCAUCAAGGUAUAUGAGUUCGAUGAGGAACCACUAGAGCCCAUAGGAAUACUAGCUUCCUCAAAAUCCAAUUUUGAAGUUGAUUCAAUACCCCAUUACAGAGAAUCAAUUACACUCCAAUACCCAAUAUAAAUAACAACGAGACAAAAACUCAGGUCUGUGACUUACUAUUUACUACAUGCAAACUGUCUAUGAACUAGUGUUCAUAAUAAAACAAGGUAGUGUUAUCACCUAUCAAGAUUACCUCUCCAAUAAUUGAGCCACAUAUCUCACUUAUUAUGCGAUUAAAUGACAUAUUGUAGUUUAUAAAAAGCUUAUGUCAAAUUCCACUUAAGGAAUUAUUGUGCGCCAUAGAUGUCCUAAUCGCAUGUCAUUUGGAUCACCCAAAGGAACACACUAUUACAAUCCCAUGAAAUAUCAUGGUGCCUCUAAUGAGCACACCUAUUACUUUCGGCUUCCAUCAAUAAUGACCCAAUCCAUGGGAAAUAUAUAAUCAACUCAUGAUUUCACUCGUAGGUCAAAGUCAUUACUAACUUUUACACAAGCUCAAUAUCUUUUCAAGGUUGAGAGUCCAUGCAGUAUAGUAGCUUGGUAAAUCAUGAUUAUCAAUAGUUUGCGUUAUGAUUUAUCAUAAGUCUUGUCUAAUGUGCAUCACAUACACUAGUGUUCUCACCAUGAAAAACUCAUCCCGAUGGCCAAGAUAAACUAUCUCUCUAAUUAGGAGGUGGUGUGCUACUACAAUCCAUGAACUAAUUGUGGACAACUUAUUUACUUACAAGAAACUCAUGAUUUGUAUCCUUUAUGUAACUUCUAGUGCACCUAAGUCAUGUACAAUAUAAGAAAUAUAGAUUGAAUGUUCUAAUCAAUGUCAACAUAUCCAAGGGAUAACAAUGGGAUAGUAAAAUCUAAUUUUGUUGUUGUUGGGAACUCUAAAUUACUCCAUUCCCAUGCCUUGGAUCGUAUAAGGUGCAUGCAAAUCUAUCAUAGGCUCUCUAAAUCUAUCACAACGGAUAAGCUUGUAUUCAAUAACAAUAUGGAUAUCAUAGAAAACAUACAUAUGGAGAAUAAAACCACAUACCUUUGAUCCAGAUAUUCCUAGAUCAAUUUCAAUCGAUGUAGAUAACUCUAAAGUCAUAAAGGGUCUCAUAAACACCAUGAUCUUCCUCCCGAUGACUCUUCCUUGUAUCUAGGCACUAAGAUAGUAGACAUCUCAAUGAUGGUUAUGGUUCUCUCUCCAGACUGAAGGGGAGAAUGGUAAGACUUAGAAACCCUAACCGUUAAAGGAGUAUUUAUAGACUUUUUAUUGGGUUUAAGUGACUUAAACCCACCAUGGGUUUGUGACACUUAAUUUAGCCUAAAAAGGUUGCUAAUUGAUUAAUUAACCAUAUAAAGCUUAAUUAAUCAAUUAGUUUAGUUCAAAGAUAUCACUAACUUAUCUCUUAUGCAACCUUACAUAAUUACCAAAACGCCCUUAUGCACAAAAAUGAACUAAAAACCCAUCCAACCAUCAUAAGUCGUACUAAUAAGGAAUAUGAGCUUAGAACGGGGACCAUUGGGACCUAUAGGAGUAUUGACUCCCUCAUAAUCAAAUUUUGAAAUUCACUCAACAUCCCAUUAUAGAGAGUUAAUUGUACUCUAAUAUCCUAAAUAUAUUACAACAAGACCUCAAGUGUUUUGGUUCGUGACCUACUAUCCACUGCAUACAGACUCCCCAUAAACUAGUAUCUAUAAUCUAAUAAGGUAGUGAUAUCACUUAUCAAGAUUACCUCUUAAAUCCUUGAGUUAUAGAUCCUAAUUAUUAUGUGAUUAGUUGACAUACUCUAACUCCAAGAUGCAUAUGUCAAAUUGCGUUAAAGGAAUUAUUGUGGCCAUAAAUUUCAUGAUCGCAUGUUCUUUGGAUCAUCUAAGGGAACACACUAUCUCAAUCCUAUGAGAUAUCAUUGUGUCUCUGUUGAGAAUACUUAUUGUCACCAACCUCCAUCAACAGUAACUCAAUCCAUAGGGAUAUUUGAUCACUUUAAGGUCUUACCCAUAAGUCAAAGCCUCUUAUUGAUUUUGACACAAACUCAAUAUCCUCUUCAAGUUGAGAGUCUAUGUAGUAUAAUAGCUUGGUGAAUCAUGACAAUUGAUAGUCUUGCGUCAUGAUUCACCAUAGGUCAUUUCCAAUGUGCAUCACAUACAUUAGUGCAUUCACCAGGAGAAACCUAUGACUUGCUGGAUUGCCCAAAUCCAUAGACCAACUAUGGACAACUUAUCUACUUACAAGGAACCCAUAACUUGUAUCUUCUGUGCAACUCUUAUUGCACCCAGGUCAUGUACAAUGUAAGAGACAUUGGUUGAAUGCUCAAAUUAAUAGCAAUACACCACAUGGAUAGCAAGGGGAUAGUUAAGUCUAACUUUGUUAUAUCAUGUCUUGCUUUUAAGGGCUAAAUCCUAACAAUUACAUCAUGUCUUGAUUUUAGGAACUCAAUUCCAACAAUAUACUAUCUCAACCCCAUGAUAUUAUGAUACCUUUAUUAAGAAUAUCUAUUACUAUAUGCUUAAACUACCAAUCACUAAAUCCAUAGGAAAUACAUGAUUAUAUUAGUAUCUCACUCGUAAGGUCAAAGUCGCUAAUGAAAAAACUAAUGCAACAUUCUCUUAAAGUUAAGAACUCAUGUAACAUAGUAGUUUGGAGAAGUUAUGUCAACCUGAUAGUCAUUCAAUCAUGACACUUCGUAGAACUUGUACAAUGUAACCAUACACACUAGUACAUAUACCAUGAGAAAACCCAUCUCGAUGACCAAGACUAGUGAUCCUACCAUUUUGGAGGUAAUGAAUUAUGGCUUCUAAGUUGUUAAAGUUUAUGAAUAUCAUCUUGUAAAGAACCCAUGACUUGGAUCUUCCAUACAACUCCUAGUGUAUUCAAGUCAUAUAAAAUAUAAAUGAUAUUGAACUAAAUGCUCGAACAAGUAAAUAAUCAAAUAGAUAAUGCAAAUAAGAUAGAAAAAUUAAUGCCAUAUAAAAUAAUGAAUCAAGUUUGCUAAAUCAUAUCUCUACUUUGAAGAGCUCUAUCCUAAUAGAUACACUAUUCACACCUAGGUAUGAACUUCUAACAAUUGAAUUUCAUGGUAUCAACACGUUAGAGUUGAGAAGGGUUUCAUGUGGAAGGACAUAUGGAGUGUGAAUGCUCUUGUUUUAUCUUAGUUGAUGUAGUGAAAGAUUACCUUUUGAUAUAUGCUUGCUUGGAUUUUUGGUCCAUCUCUAUCAAUGUGUGCUUUUCUGGAUUAGGAUGAUCACUUCUAUUCUUUUUUAUGUAAGUGUCCUAAUAAGGUUACUGAUUUUUAGCAAGGAAAUCCUUUCCAUUGCCUUAGGUUUUGCUUUCCUUAUUCCAUUUGCUUUUGGUGAUGCUAAGAAAACUAAUUACUCAUUCUCUAAUUAAUCCAACUAGAAUAAGAUAACCGGAUUUGUGUUUCACAUAGAAGAUGCUAUGUUACCAUCUACAGAAGGAUAAGGAUCCUCUGAAAAAGUCAUAUAGGAGAUAUGUAUCACUUGAUAACCCUUGGACUUUGUAAAAGGCAAUAAAAGGGGGGUUAGACAACAACAUAGGAUAAAAGAUUAAAAAAACAAAAAACAAAACAAAAGAGGAUAGAUGGGAGGGGAACAUUGUCUUACCUUAAUAACCCUCCUCCAAAGGCAUAAGGGGAAGGUUGUCCUUACUUAACGACCUUCUUAACCUCUUGUAGCUAGGAGACAUCCUUAUUCUCUCAUAUUUUUUUAAGAGCCAAGGAUCUCCAAGACAUCACACCCACCAUUUCCAUUGAGGAAAAUGUAUUAGGUUUUAAGUCUCUUGACCUAGUAGAAGAUAAGAAACUUCUCUAAAUCCACAUGGUAGCUUGGAGUCAUGUUCAUGACCACGACUGUCAUGAGAAGACUCACAAUAUCAGGAUUGAAUUGAUACAACAACACUCUCACAAAACUAAAGAAAAAAUACCUCACUAACGUUUGAAGCAGUAGCCAUAAUCCAAACUUCAAAUGCUCUAUUGGAAUGUAUCUCUUGACAACAUAUGGAGGCUAGAUUAAUUCCUCUGGAAACAACCAUAAAAACUUCACGGAGAAAAGGAUUUCUAAUUGUUGGUUUAACAUAAUAACAUCUCUAAAGGGAGUCAUAGGUGCUAUCUUGAAGACAAAAAAAAGUUAGAUAAAAUGGAGAAAAGUUGCAAGGAUAAAGGAAUAAGGGUAGAAGAAGGCAAGAAAGCAAAAUCACAAAAGUAGAAGAAGAAAAUCAAUAGAGAAACACCUUUUAUAUAGGUUGCCAAGUCAUAACCACUCCAAGAAUCAAGGCAAACACCCUUAUCAUGGCUUGCCUACUAAUCUCUUGGAAAAAGAAUCCAUUUGUCACAUUGACUUUUGAUUUUCCUGCAUGUUAAAUCCUAAAAGCAAGGAAAUAGGAGGUGAGAAGUUGUAGGAAAAAAAAAAUGAAAUGUGGAAACAAAAGGCAUAAGUGGCUAGUUAUCAGCAGAGGUAAUCGGGGGUGCCUAUUGAGUGGUGAAUUGGUCUAUAUCCUUGUACCAUCCAUCCUUAACAAGAAAGAUCUCUAACUCUUAGGAGCAUUUAAUGUGAUGUGAUAGAUAUUAAAUAUGAUUGGAUGAUACUCUCAUGGUUACAAAAUGUUUAAGGCCACACCCUAAACCGAGAAAUCUCUAAUCAUUAUCUAAUAUUGAGGUAUGGACAUUUAAGCACCGAUCAACCAUCGACAUGGUAACCACUCUUAACUAACUUAAACCCUUCCUUUAAAUACCUCUAAAGGCAUCAACAAUAAAGGUAGAAAAGAACCAUUCCAUUUCUCCCUUUGAUUUCUACUUAUCAUAACCUUGUUUUUUUCGGUGCACCAUAUGAUCGUUCGAGGUGUAGUGGUCAUUUUGCACCUACCCGCCCUUACCCCCACCUUGACUACCUUUUGUCCAUCCAUUAUAGUAGCAAGUCGACCUAGUAAUUCCUUUAACAAAUGUCUUCUUCAUUAAGGCAAUAAAGAGGAUACAACAAUAUCUAAUAUCAUUUAACCAAUAUUUUUACCUUAGAUAUAUGUAUCAUUUAAUUUUCAUUAUGGAGUCCAACAAGACUAUGUAUGCUAAAAAGAUUAGCAUGUUUGAUUGACUUGUUAGCACGAGUUAGGAUAAAAGAAGAGAUAACAUAUUAUAUCUUAUGUUCGGUUAACAAUGAGAUAUGAUAAGUUAUAUUCAACUUCAUUUUUUUGUAUCCUCUUUAAAUGAGAUAUAGUAAUUCCUAAGUUGAAAUAUGAAAUAUACAUAUUCCAUGGAUCAUAAGUUUUUUUUCUUUCAUCCAUUUUUUUUUCAUUUUUUAAAAGUAAAAUAUUUUGUAAAAUAAAAAAAAAAUGACUAAAAAAAUUAAAAUUUUAGUUUGGACAAAAAGAAUUUAAAAAAUACAUGUAGAAUAUUUUACUUAUAAGUUUUAAAUAUUUUAAUCAUAAAUAUUAUUAACAAAGAAAUAAAAUUUACUUAAUAAAUUAUAAACUUUAGAAAGAUUUCCAAAUGAUACCAAACAUGUUAGAAAUUUCAUAUAUUUUUUUCAAAGUAGCAAAGAUUGUUAUGAAAAACAUUUUUUAUUUUGAAAAACAAUUAAAACAUUGAAAUUUCAUUCUGUUGUUUAAUCCUUUUUUAAACCAAAUAAGAGAUCAAUCUAAUAUAUCUCAUCUAAUAUAAUAUCGUUUUUUUCUUCACAUAGGGUUUCUUUUCUUUCUUUGUUGAGAAGCUCCUCAUUGUGAAGUCCUGAUCAAUCCCUCAUUUUGCCAAGACUCCAAGACUUGUUAAGAAAGAAAACAGAGCUCAAAAGAAAUUAACUCAAAAUCUCACAUCACAUUGUUGAUAAUAUCAAGUGUUUUUUUUUUUUCAUUGAAAUGAUGAAUUUCAAAUGUUUACAACACCCAUCAAUGUGUGGGGGAGAAGUUCAUGAUUGACAAAGAAAAAUAAUGAGACUUUGAUGGAAGGUAAUGACCGAAACCAAUCUGCUUCUUCAGCUGUAACAAGGGAACAUAUCCAAAGAAGAUGAAUAAGAACCAACCUAAGCUUCCCAACCCCUUAGCGUUGUGGCACACGCAACUCGAUUCACUGCCAAUGUGAAGGCUCCCAUUCGAAGACUGCAGUUGUGCGAUUGACACAUUGCCUUAAUGUUAUGAAAAGCUUUGGUCAUGUACUUCUGAAGCUCAUUAUUCACCUUCUCUUCUUCCCACAUAAAACCUUGAAUAU